rnacentral:rRNA from 1 species
UACGGGGGGAGCAAGCGUUGUUCGGAUUUACUGGGCGUAAAGGGCGCGUAGGCGGCGUAACAAGUCACUUGUGAAAUCUCCGGGCUUAACCCGGAGCGGCCAAGUGAUACUGUUGUGCUAGAGUGCGGAAGGGGCUACUGGAAUUCUCGGUGUAGCGGUGGAAUGCGUAGAGAUCGGGAGGAACACCAGUGGCGAAGGCGGCUGCCUGGACCUUUGCUGACGCUGAGGCGCGAAGGCGUGGGGAGCAAACAGG